CUGGCUGGCUGGCAGAGGUUGUGAUCAACAGCUGUCAUAUUGAUUAAAGAGGAGAGACAAAGGUGUUUGCAGGUGGUGUCAGGCUCAUGGGCUGUGUGAUGUCCUGGGGAGGUGCCCCCAGCAGUGACCACCCCAUCACCCAGAGUGUGUUCCAGAAAGCCCAGUGAGAACUGGAGGAGACCUGGAAUCAAACCAGUACAUUCCUCUGGUUCUUCUGGCCAUCCUGUAGUGCAUCCUUAAAAAGCUUGGGAGUGAUGACUUAUGAGAUGAUGAUGGCUUUUGAAGAAGAGAAAGGAACAGGUCAGCUAAACCUGAAUGGAAGUGGGAUGUACAGAGGGAAGGCUAAAAGAAUGGUGGUAACAAGUGAUAAGAAAUGGCCCAGGAAGCUGAAAUCCUUAAUACCCGUAUCGCCUUUGAAAACAUGGCCAAAGAUUUAACAAAAAUGCUUUUGGUCACGUAGGCCAUGCUUAAAGACUGUACUUUCAGCCCACCCACUGGGACACAAAAGGUAACGAUUCGAACUCCAGCACAGGUAAUGUGUGACUACAGAGGCUGAACUACUUGGAAGAUAACCUCAGCUACAGUAGGAGAAAGAACAACGAAGAUAAUGGAAAAGAAACAGCUAUAAUAACCAUCUGCAAGCACACAUGGCCUCUACUUCAGCACCCAUAAAACUAAAAAUGAUAAAAGAAAAUUGCUUGCAAAAUAGCAAAGACUACUUUAUAAACAUUUCUUAUGCUUUUGUAGGGUUGCCCUCUUUCUGGUAUUUGGUGUGCUCUGUGUAUUGGCGUUUAAUGUGGAGAGAGGUAUAUUCCAGGAAAGUCCUUCUGUCACUUCCCCUUCUGCCUUGUAUAGGCACACAAUGUUAGUUAUAGUGUACCCAAGGGUGACAGUAGUAUUGUCCUGCCCACCAAAUCACCUUGCAUUGCCUGGGCUGCAUGCCCUGCCCCUCAGCUGUGUACAGGGGUCAGUCCUAGUACCGGUUGCAUGGCUGUACAAAGCAACAGUGCCAUUUGAAAUAAGGGAAGAAAUCCAAUCACGAUCACAGUGACUUCCCUGGAUGAGGCUUAAUUUUGCCCUUUAGUGACCAGCAUAGCUUUGGGCUAUCAAUAAUUUUAUAGCUACUACAAGUCCCUUAAGCAAGAACAUAGUUUUACUGCCUUUUUAUUGGAAUACUAUGCCAAAUGACAUAUAUGUGUCCCUCUUAAGGCUUAUUUCCCUCCCAGAGUGGUACUAAGGCUUUUUCUUUUAACUGGACUGGAUCCCAAGCCCAAACCAUGGCGCAGCCCCAACAGAGUCCUGGGAGAAGCCAAGAGGUGCCGCAGCUGAGAGCUACUCAAUGGACCCACAAGGACAUUGAGGCAAAGGACAACCUGCAGCAGUUUUAGAUUUCCUUAUGAACUGAAUGGAACUAAACCAAGAAAUUUGCUAAGAGUCAUUUGUGCCUUUAAAGUUCACGUUGAGUUUUUGCAAACUUUUAGUCAUUUUGGGAAGACCUGAGCUGAAUCCCCAUCCCGAGUCACACUGUGUGUGAGCUCUUUCUUUCCUAGUGUGUACUCCAUAACUUUUAGCUGCAGACUGCUCUUUAGCCUAGAC